rnacentral:rRNA from 1 species
CCUACGGGAGGCAGCAGUGAGGAAUAUUGGUCAAUGGGCGAGAGCCUGAACCAGCCAAGUCGCGUGAGGGAGUACUGCCCUAUGGGUUGUAAACCUCUUUUGUCGGGGAGCAAAAGCCGGACGUGUCCGGCUGUGAGAGUACCCGAAGAAAAAGCAUCGGCUAACUCCGUGCCAGCAGCCGCGGUAAUACGGAGGAUGCGAGCGUUAUCCGGAUUUAUUGGGUUUAAAGGGUGCGCAGGCGGAUUUUUAAGUCAGCGGUAAAAUCGUGGGGCUCAACCCCAUCCAGCCGUUGAAACUGGGGAUCUAGAGUGUGCGAGAGGUAUGCGGAAUGCGUGGUGUAGCGGUGAAAUGCAUAGAUAUCACGCAGAGCCCCGAUUGCGAAGGCAGCAUACCGGUGCACAACUGACGCUCAGGCACGAAAGCGUGGGUAUCGAACAGGAUUAGAUACCCUGGUAGUC